UCAGGCAGUGGAGCGUUUUGGGGUGGGGUGACUGCGUACCUUUUGUAUAAUGGGUCAGCGACUUAUAUUCUGUAGCAAGGUUAACCGAAUAGGGGAGCCGGAGGGAAACCGAGUCUUAAUUGGGCGUUAAGUUGCAGGGUAUAGACCCGAAACCCGGUGAUCUAGCCAUGGGCAGGUUGAAGGUUGGGUAACACUAACUGGAGGACCGAACCGACUAAUGUUGAAAAAUUAGCGGAUGACCUGUGGCUGGGGGUGAAAGGCCAAUCAAACCGGGAGAUAGCUGGUUCUCCCCGAAAGCUAUUUAGGUAGCGCCUCGUGAAUUCAUCUCCGGGGGUAGAGCACUGUUUCGGCCAGGGGGCCAUCCCGGCUUACCAACCCGAUGCAAACUGCGAAUACCGGAGAAUGUUAUCACGGGAGACACACGGCGGGUGCUAACGUCCGUCGUGAAGAGGGAAACAACCCAGACCGCCAGCUAAGGUCCCAAAGUCAUGGUUAAGUGGGAAACGAUGUGGGAAGGCCCAGACAGCCAGGAUGUUGGCUUAGAAGCAGCCAUCAUUUAAAGAAAGCGUAAUAGCUCACUGGUCGAGUCGGCCUGCGCGGAAGAUGUAACGGGGCUAAACCAUGCACCGAAGCUGCGGCAGCGAACGUAUCACUUAAAGCGAUUCAGCGGAUGACGAUUGACGGAGCGAAGCGACGUCAAAGCGUUUUACAACGUCGAGUCGGUUUAAGGAUACGUUCGUUGGGUAGGGGAGCGUUCUGUAAGCCUGCGAAGGUGUGCUGUGAGGCAUGCUGGAGGUAUCAGAAGUGCGAAUGCUGACAUAAGUAACGAUAAUGCGGGUGAAAAACCCGCACGCCGGAAGACCAAGGGUUCCUGUCCAACGUUAAUCGGGGCAGGGUGAGUCGACCCCUAAGGCGAGGCCGAAAGGCGUAGUCGAUGGGAAACGGGUUAAUAUUCCCGUACCUGGUGUUACUGCGAAGGGGGGACGGAGAAGGCUAUGUUGGCCGGGCGACGGUUGUCCCGGUUUAAGCGUGUAGGUGUGUGUUCCAGGAAAAUCCGGUUCACUUUAACACUGAGGCGUGACGACGAGGCACUACGGUGCUGAAGCAACAAAUGCCCUGCUUCCAGGAAAAGCCUCUAAGCCUCAGGUAACAUCAGAUCGUACCCGAAACCGACACAGGUGGUCAGGUAGAGAAUACCAAGGCGCUUGAGAGAACCCGGGUGAAGGAACUAGGCAAAAUGGUGCCGUAACUUCGGGAGAAGGCACGCUGACA
rnacentral:rRNA from 1 species